AUUGAACGCUGGCGGCAUGCUUUACACAUGCAAGUCGAACGGCAGCGCGGGCUUCGGCCUGGCGGCGAGUGGCGAACGGGUGAGUAAUACAUCGGAACGUGCCCAGUAGUGGGGGAUAGCUCGGCGAAAGCCGGAUUAAUACCGCAUACGACCUGAGGGUGAAAGCGGGGGAUCUUCGGACCUCGCGCUAUUGUAGCGGCCGAUGGCAGAUUAGCUAGUUGGUGGGGUAAAGGCCUACCAAGGCGACGAUCUGUAGCUGGUCUGAGAGGACGACCAGCCACACUGGGACUGAGACACGGCCCAGACUCCUAAGGGAGGCAGCAGUGGGGAAUGGUGGACAAUGGGCGAAAGCCUGAUCCAGCAAUGCCGCGUGUGUGAUGAAGGCCUUCGGGUUGGAAAGCACUUUUGGCGGGAACGAAAAGGACUGUGCCAAUACCACGGUUCGAUGACGGUACCCGCAGAAUAAGCACCGGCUAACUACGUG
rnacentral:rRNA from 1 species